CGUAGGUGCAAGCGUUGUCCGGAUUAUUGGGCGUAAGGGCUCGUAGGCGGUCUGUCGCGUCGGUGUGAAACUCACCGCUCAACGGUGAGCUUGCAUCCGAUACGGGCAGACUUGAGUCCGGCAGGGAGACUGGAAUUCCUGGUGUAGCGGUGAAAUGCGCAGAUAUCAGGAGGAACACCGGUGGCGAAGGCGGGUCUCUGGGCCGGUACUGACGCUGAGGAGCGAAGGCGUGGGAGCGAACAGGAUU
rnacentral:rRNA from 1 species